UUCAGACGAUGCGUCAUGCAUAUCAAUAAGCGGAGGAAAAGAAACUAACAAGGAUUCCCCUAGUAACGGCGAGUGAAGCGGGAAGAGCUCAAAUUUGGAAUCUUAAAGGGUUUCCCUUUACGAAUUGUAGUUUAAAGAAGUGUUUUCUGUUGAGGUUUUGGUAAAAGUUCUUUGGAAUAGGACAUCAUAGAGGGUGAGAAUCCCGUAUUUGACCUUUACUUUCAACUUUGUGAUACACUUUCAAAGAGUCGGAUUGUUUGGGAAUGCAGUCCAAAAUGGGUGGUAAAUUUCAUCUAAAGCUAAAUAUUGGCGAGAGACCGAUAGCGAACAAGUACCGUGAGGGAAAGAUGAAAAGAACUUUGAAAAGAGAGUUAAACAGUACGUGAAAUUGUCAAAAGGGAAGCGUUUGACACCAGUGUUGUUUUUCUGAAAAUCAAUUAAAGAACUGUUUAUGCUAAGCUGUUUAGACUUUAUCAGCUAUCUGCUUAGUUUUGAGCUUUUCUUUAAUGCACUUUUCAGUUAACAAGUCAACAUCAAUUUCUUUUGCUGUAAAAAAGCUUGAGGAAGGUGGCUUGAGAUUCGUCUUAAGUGUUUAUAGCCUCUUGCCUAUGCAGUCGGAGAGAUUGAGGUCUGCAGCGUAGAUCCUUCGGGGCUAAAUGCAUUUGUGCUAAGUUAUAGCAUUUUAUAGACAACUUGUUGACUAUGAUUUGUCUUGUAGCUUACUCGCUUAUGUUAUUUUACCUACGCUUAGGAUGUUGACACACGCGCGUGCUCG
rnacentral:rRNA from 1 species